GAUGAACGCUGGCGGCGUGCCUAAUACAUGCAAGUCGAGCGAACAGAUGAGGAGCUUGCUCCUCUGACGUUAGCGGCGGACGGGUGAGUAACACGUGGAUAACCUACCUAUAAGACUGGGAUAACUUCGGGAAACCGGAGCUAAUACCGGAUAAUAUAUUGAACCGCAUGGUUCAAUAGUGAAAGACGGUUUAGCUGUCACUUAUAGAUGGAUCCGCGCCGCAUUAGCUAGUUGGUAAGGUAACGGCUUACCAAGGCAACGAUGCGUAGCCGACCUGAGAGGGUGAUCGGCCACACUGGAACUGAGACACGGUCCAGACGCCUACGGGAGGCAGCAGUAGGGAAUCUUCCGCAAUGGGCGAAAGCCUGACGGAGCAACGCCGCGUGAGUGAUGAAGGUCUUCGGAUCGUAAAACUCUGUUAUUAGGGAAGAACAAAUGUGUAAGUAACUAUGCACGUCUUGACGGUACCUAAUCAGAAAGCCACGGCUAACUACGUG
rnacentral:rRNA from 1 species